rnacentral:rRNA from 1 species
GACGAACGCUGGCGGCAGGCCUAACACAUGCAAGUCGAACGCCGUAGCAAUACGGAGUGGCAGACGGGUGAGUAACACGUGGGAACAUACCCUUCGGUUCGGAAUAACUCAGGGAAACUUGAGCUAACACCUUAUAAUGUCUUCGGACCAAAUAUUUAUAGCCUAGAGAUGAGCCCGCGGUAGAUUAGCUAGUUGGUGGGGUAAUGGCCUACCAAGGCAACGAUCUAUAGCUGGCUGAGAGGAUGACCAGCCACACUGGGACUGAGACACGGCCCAGACUCCUACGGGAGGCAGCAGUGGGGAAUAUUGGGCAAUGGACGCAAGUCUGACCCAGCUAUGCCGCGUGAAUGAUGAAGGCCUUAGGGUCGUAAAGUUCUUUUACCAGGGAAGAUGAUGACGGUACCUGGAGAAAAGACUCCGGCUAACUUCGUGCCAGCCGCCGCAGUAAG